rnacentral:rRNA from 1 species
UACGGAGGGAGCUAGCGUUGUUCGGAAUUACUGGGCGUAAAGCGCACGUAGGCGGCUUUGUAAGUUAGAGGUGAAAGCCCGGGGCUCAACUCCGGAACUGCCUUUAAGACUGCAUCGCUUGAAUCCGGGAGAGGUGAGUGGAAUUCCGAGUGUAGAGGUGAAAUUCGUAGAUAUUCGGAAGAACACCAGUGGCGAAGGCGGCUCACUGGACCGUUUCUGACGCUGAGGCGCGAAAGCGUGGGGAGCAAACAGG